GAUGAACGCUGGCGGCGUGCUUAACACAUGCAAGUCGAACGUGAGGGGAUAGCAAUAUCCUUGAAAGUGGCGCACGGGUGAGUAAUACGUAGGUAACCUGCCCUGGAGUGGGGGAUAACAACUGGAAACGGUUGCUAAUACCGCAUAAUACUGGACACGAGGGAUUGUGACUGGUAAAAACUCUGGUGCUUCAGGAGGGGCCUGCGGCCGAUUAGCUAGUUGGUGGGGUAAGAGCCUACCAAGGCAUUGAUCGGUAGCUGGUCUGAGAGGACGAUCAGCCACACGGGGAACUGAGACACGGUCCCGACUCCUACGGGGGGCGAGCAGUGAGGAAUAUUGGGCAAUGGGCGCAAGCCUGACCCAGCAACGCCGCGUGGAGGAAGACGGCCUUCGGUUGUAAACUCCUUUACGGGGGUAAGGAGCAAGGACGGUACCCCGAGAAUAAGUCACGGCUAACUACGUGCCAG
rnacentral:rRNA from 1 species